CAAUCACUCUACCAACAGGACGAG
rnacentral:siRNA from 1 species